AGAAGAGAAAAGCAGAAUGAGUUAGCUUUAGGAGCCAGAAAAGGAGAUUUCAAAACAUGCUUAGGAAAUUGCGUGGUUACUCCUAACCUAAUUCUACUUUCUCUCUCUCUCUCUCUUAGUUUAUGUCUAUAUUUAGUGUUUGAAUUUUGGUUCAGGGUGCAAUCUCAACCCCACAAUAUUCUUCCUUCUUUUCCUCUUCUCACCAUUAUUAGCCACACCUUAAUCUUCAAACACUAGUUUUAUGCCAAUUCAGUAGGGUUUUUCUCUUGUGGGGCUUUCUAACCCUUUUGAUUAUGACCUACCUCUAUAUAUCUAUAGAUCUCCCUCUCAAACCACAAUAUAUACCUCAUUCUCUUCUCUUCUUUCACUUCACAUUUCUCAUCUCAUCACUCUCUUCCUUUCUUUCUCCCACCAAAUCCACCUCCAUCUUCUACAACUCCACCAAAAAAAUUCUAUCACCUAUUAUAGAUUGAGUAGAGAUUUAUUAGGUUUUAAUUUUGAAUUUUUAUUUUCACUCUGAUGCAUCUCAUCAUCAUGCAUACAUGCAUGAGUAUGUGCCUGGCUCCCUGUAUGCCAUAUACGAAGCUUAUUGAAAUAUCAAUAACCUUUGUGGAUGGCGUACGGGAAGCCAAGCAUAUUCCAUUUACAUACAUGGAGAUCAUCAAUAAUAACAUCAAUAUAUGAUCUAUACUCAUUUUUCUUUUCUUUUUUAAAAAUUUUAAAUUUUUAAAUUUUUUUUAUUAUUACUAACAAAUCUUGAUUGUAGCAAGCAAGAGAGUACUCACGGCAUUGUCAUUUAACAAAGUUGUAAGGAUGGCACAAGAAAAGCACAAGAAGAGGAAGUUACGGAAAAAGAACUGUUGGUGACAGUUAAUCAAUUACUACUGCUAACAUGGAAGUUAUGAAUGUUAUUAUUAUUACUUGUUUCACUGUCUAUCUCAUGGACAUUUCAUAUGACCCUGUCAUUUUAACAAUGCCCUAAAAACCAAUAUACUGUUUCUUUUCUGCAGUUACUGUUGUUAAUUUUUUAUCUAAUUUUUAUGGACAUUGAUAUGUUGUCUGAAAAAUGGUUUUUGAUUUAGGGGUUAUUUUUCAGACACUAAUCUAGGUCAUUUUUUGUAUAGACAAAUCUUUAUAAUUUACUAUACUAAUUAAGUUAGUUUUUAGGAUCUGAGUUUUGGGCUAAGCUAACUAUGUAAAGACACAACUUUUCCACUUUUUCAAAGGUCGUUUGUGUAUAUGUUCACAAUUAGUCCUACAAUAGGGUAAUCAAAUUUUUUAUUGACAAAAUGAACUGUAAUUUUAUGGGUUACUCUUAUUUAAGUAGUUUAGAUGUUAAACUCACACAAUAGUGAUUUUGAUUUGUAUUUUUA